CGCCGCCCGGCUGGGCCCACCGUGGCCCCGCAGAAGGCGCUGCUGGUGUCUCUGGGAGGUGAGGGGGCUCGCCAAGGCCAGGGGCCUCCCCACGAUGGCCCCGGUGUCACAGCUCGUUGCGUGUGGGAGGUGGCCUGGGGCGCCCACCAAGUCAACCCUCACCCUCCCUCGCUCGCCUCCGACAGGUUUUGCCAAAGUGAAAACAAAGACCCUGUGGGCCUCGCAGACGAGCAGGAGGGAGGAAAACAUGAGGUGGGGUGACACAGGUGCCCGUGCACGACCGGCGUGUGGGCCCCAGGGCCGGCAUGAGAGCUCGCAGCGGGGGGCAGGCCAGGGCAGGGGGCCUCCCGUCUGAACACCCAGAGAGGGACGGGGACAGAGGGCGCGGCCCACGCCGACACUCGCCUCCAGGCCCCCGCCGGACGGGGACGCUUCCUGGGGAAGGCACUGACUUGCUGCCGUCUGGGAGGCUGCUUUCCAGACAGCCUUAAGUCCCCCCGAACACCUGCUUCUACAGAGCACGGAGGAGGACCGUUCAGCCCCACGGGUCAGUGAGCGGGGGGAAGACAGGGGAGAAAACAAAACCGGAGCCAUGGACUCCAGCCAGGGGCCCACGGGGGAGGGGCGACGCGGAAGCCUGGCCAGAGGGGACAGGGCUGGCCUUCACGCCACAGAGGCUGAGAGAUGGAGCGGAGAGUCCAUGUGACUGACCCGAGGCACUGAAGUCAGCCGGACCAAAGGGGAAAGUGGGGCCAGGGGGUCUGAGGUCAUCUCUGAGGGACGGCGCCUCUCCCCGUGGCUCCGGGGGGACUUGGGGCCGGCCAGUCCCACUCGGUUUCUCGCCCGUGAGCAGGGUGUUAAUGAUCACCACACCCUUCCCAGGGCUGUUCCGAGGUGGGAUGAGACCACGCCUGGCGCUGGUACUCUCUAAAGGCUUCUAUACCUUCUGUCUUCAACGUAAGGAUCUGCCAAGGGCUUCCGAUGCGAGGUGUGACCAUCCUCAGGAAACGGAGGGGGGCAGGGGUGAGCAGCUCAAAGAGGGAAACCCGGUGGCAUGACCCGGCUCCAGGAGAAUGAACCAGAUGUGGCCGAUGCCCCACUCGCACCCCCCAGCCUCGCUGCUGGGCCCGGGUCCUGCUGGGCUGCAUGGGCACCUCCUUGUGGGGACCCUGCUGGCGCCGAGCUCCCUGUCCACUCUGCCUGUACGUGCCAGGACAGACAGCAAAACGAACCCAGGCCAACAGAGUGGUCUGACUUACUCUCCAGGGACUUAACCGUUUUGUUCUCUGUAUUCUCAGCACAUAAUGUCGUUCUUGGCAUACGGUCAACACUCAGCAAAUAUUUGUUGACUAAACGAACGAUUACGCCCCAGGCAGACUGUGUGAAGAUCUCUAGCCAAAUGUUGAGACUACAGCAGGCGCCACAUUCUUAAAGCUCUCAUCUCGUGGCUGGAAACAGUCAGUGGCCAAGCUGGGGACUGUGCCCCAUAAGCCCUGAGACACUACAGCAGGAGAGACACUGCAGGUCGCCAACGGAGGUGGCACUGGGAAACCACAGAUGGGAUGAGGGAAGAGGGGACCCGAGUUUACUGAGCAGCUACUACGUGCUGUGCACAGGCUCUGUAUAGGGUUCUCACCGCUGCUCUUCCUUCUCGUGGGCUGGAGUCCUGAGGGCCCAGCUCCCAAGGGUCCCCCGUGGGACCAGAUAGGCGGUCUUUCACGUGCUGGCCUAGAGGCCUCUGUGCAGCAGACGGUGCUCAUGCCCGCUCCAGGCCCCACCCCAGGGAAGAUGGUCCAGUCCUCCCGCUACCCCUCAUUCCCACUUUCUAGGCCUUCCCCAUGCCCGGCUGGCCUCUCCUGGACUGCUCCAGUGUCCACAAAUCUCCUUCAGGGUGAACCUGGAGCCAGGACACCCCAGUUCUUGUUGGGGUUCUGCUCUAAGUGGCCAGGUAUCCUGGGGAGUCCCUCCCAUCCUUGGGCCUCAGUUUCCCAUAAAGGGAGAAGGAUGGAACCAAGGAUCACACAGUUCUAAAUCUCUACAAUUUAAAAGGACAAAGAAGGAGGGGCCCCGGGUGGCUCAGUUGGUUGAACGUCUGACUUCGGCUCAGGUCACAAUUCACGGUUCAUGAGAUCGAGCCCCGCGUCAGGCUCUGUGCUGACAGCUCGGAGCCCGGAGCCUGCUUCGGAUUCUGUGUCCCCCCUCUCUCUCUGCCCCUCCCCCGCUCACGCUCUCUCUCAAAAAUAAAGAUUAAAAAAAAUAAUAAAAGGAUAAAGAGGGAAAUACCCCAAUAUGGGGAGGAGACUGUGGGAUCGUUUCCCUCUUUUUGAACUUCCAAAUGAGGUAUGAGUAGAUGCACCACCAUGUAAUAAAGAAGCACAGGGCUAAGAGUCCCCAGGGAGGGCACAAGUGCUCCUGUGUGACUCCAUCCCUGUAAGUCUGGUGCUGCAAGGCAGACGGGGGGGCCCUACAGCUCCUGGCCCGGGUGCCCACGUUAAAUUAUACAGCCUGAGGUGGGCAGAUAAGCCGAGGCAUUGCCAACACCUCCUCCUGAGAGAGGCUGUCCUUCUGCCCGUCCAUUAACAUUCAUGAGGCUCUGGGACGCCAGCCUCCCCUCUCCUCUGGGACAGAAGGGACAGGCUAGGUUUCGAGUUAGCCUCUAUAGGAAAGGCAUCCCCUGGGCCUCCUGAAAAAGAGGGAACCUGAGAUCCCAGGACAAAGGAUCUAGCACCUGCUCAGUGAUGCUUGAUGGAAUUUCUGGCCGGCGAAGGACAGCUACCUAAUCUGGGCUGGGCAGAGUCCCAAGCCCCUCUGAGGCCCCCUCCGCCCCUCUGCCACAUCUCUGGCUGGCUCCUUCUCCCUCUGGAGGGUCCCCGCAUUCUGGAUUGACUUAGGGCGGCACUUUGCACCGGGGGCAGGCCUCCCAGACCAAUUCCUUAGCAUUCCUCCCCGUCUUGUUUCCAGGCCUCUGCUGCCGAGCAAGCUAGUGUCCGUGUGGGAUCCGGGCCUGAGUCCUCAGAGGCGCCUCGCCAAGGCCACACAGGAAUUGGUGGCAGAGCUGGGACCAGCGCCCGGGACAAAGGUCUCCUAGCCCAGGGCUCUGGCCGGACAAGCAGCUGUCUCCGCACCUUCGCGCCUAGGAAACCAGGGUGGCGGUGCUGAGCCCCCCUCCUGCACUCGGCUCAGCAGUAGACAGAUCCUGACUGCCACUGCCGUCUCCUGCUUUGACGAGAGACGGUUCAGUCGCUUGCCUGAAGUUACCCCGCGUGAAUCUUCCAGCGCCUUUCCUCCCGAGGCCUUACCAAUGAAUCGGGGCUCACAGCAGGCUGAUGCGUGAGCCCACCUGUGUUGUUUCACUCAGAGCACCAAGGCCAGCUGUCAUCCGCUGGACUCCUGUAACAGACCCUCAUUCCUGAGCCCUCCCGUUACGGUUCAACCGUCACCCCACGGUGACCAACGUCUAGAGCCGUAGCAGAGAGGCCAGCGUCCAAACGGCCCGUAGCCCUGGAAGGUCAGCCUGUGUAGAUGCGGGAACCGCGUUUCGGAAAGGCCGCACGGUGAGGAGCACCCGCCCGGAGCCUGCAGAGGACGGGCCUUUGCCCUGUGCCGGCCUGGGUGCCGGCGAGCAGCCCCACCUCCCUGUCCCUGUCCUGGCGCAUGGGGCUCCUGAGGCCCGGGGGAAGGGAGGACUUGCUCGCGGGGGGAAGCGGGGCUGGGACCCAGGCUCCCAGGGUCCAGGCCGGGACACUGCCAGCCAGCCUGCCUCAUCCACUCGGGCUGUGCUCUCCAGGCCACUCACUUGCCAGGUGAAGUAGCCGUUUCCUAACAAGCUCGCUUCAGGACAAAGAACCAACCUCGAGAAGAAUCUCAAACGGAACGAAGUACAAUGAAAAUACAUCGCGCCUUUACAGUGCAGUGGGAUGGGACAGUGUGGGCGCGGAGCCAGAAAGCAACGGGUGAGCGGCCAAAGGCAGAAGCCCGGGCACUGUUUGCGUAGACCACCUGCUCUCCCCAGGCUCCCUGGGCAUCCCUGCUGCUGUUCCUCGCUCUUCCUUCCUUGCCGUCACGUCUGCUUCCUCCCAACCAGUCCCUGCCACUCCUGCUUUCUUUCCCAGCCGGAUCGGCUCCAAGGAGCUCAGUCCUUCGACCUGCCAGCAGGCACGCCUCUCUCCCACUGCCCUGGGACCCCUUCCUACUGCCACACCUGUGGGGACAGUGGCUGUUCCUUCUGCCAGGAACACUCGCCUGCACUUCCCGGGACCCAUAGAGCCCACGGAACACGCCCACUGCCGAUACCGGAGUUCCUCCACUGUUUACUCCACUGGACUGUGAGCCUGAGAGCAAAUCCCACGCCUGUACCUUCCUGUCCCCAAGCACCCUGCGCAGGGCCUGGCGGGAAGCGCGCAGGGAACGUCUGUGUGGCCAGCCCAAACCUGGCGUCACACUCUCCUUCGGAAACGGGUCAGCCCCUCUCAGUAGAGCAAUGCUAAUCUCCCCAGUCCCACCAGGCUUAACGCUCUGCCCUCUACCGGUCUCCAGGGAAUGCCAGCCC